UGGAUCGAUGAUGACCAGUGAUCGUGUAUGUGUUCAUACAUGAUGAAUAUGUUCCUGGAGCUCUGAGGUCCAC